rnacentral:rRNA from 1 species
UGGUCUUGACAUCCCGGGAAUCUCUUAGAAAUAAGAGAGUGCCUCAUUAGAGGAGCCUGGUGACAGGUGCUGCAUGGCUGUCGUCAGCUCGUGUCGUGAGAUGUUGGGUUAAGUCCCGCAACGAGCGCAACCCUUGCCUUUAGUUGCCAUCAUUAAGUUGGGCACUCUAGAGGGACUGCCGGUGUCAAACCGGAGGAAGGUGGGGAUGACGUCAAGUCCUCAUGGCCUUUAUGACCAGGGCUACACACGUACUACAAUGGCAUGUACAAAGGGCAGCCACUUCGCAAGAAGGAGCGAAUCCCAAAAACAUGUCUCAGUCCGGAUUGGAGUCUGCAACUCGACUCCAUGAAGUCGGAAUCGCUAGUAAUCGUGGAUCAGAAUGCCACGGUGAAUACGUUCCCGGGCCU